rnacentral:rRNA from 1 species
GGGUACUGCUAUCAGACUUCGACUAAGCCAUGCAAGUCUGCUCAUUCACUUGGAUGGGCGGCAAAAGGCUGAGUAACACGUGGUCAAUCUGCCCUUAGGACGCGAAUAACCUCGGGAAACUGAGGCUAAUACGCGAUAGAUGAUCUAUGCUGGAAUGCUUGAUCGUCCAAAAGGCUGGUGAAUUGGAACCAGUCCGCCUUAGGAUGAGACUGCGGCGGAUCAUGGUAGUUGGUGGGGUUAUGGCCUACCAAGCCGAUAAUCCGUAGGGGCCAUGGGAGUGGUGGCCCCCAGAAGGGAACUGAGACAAGGUCCCUAGCCCUACGGGGUGCAGCAGGCGCGAAACCUCUACAAUGCGCGAAAGCGUGAUAGGGGGAGUCUGAGUGGUGACAGCUUAGCUGUUAUCUUUUGCCAAGCGUAAAUAACUUGGAGAAUAAGGGUGUGGGCAAACACAUCCUUACGGUGUGAACUGACAGUCGUAGGAAGUGGCCUAAGACUGGUGGCAGCCGCCGCGGUAACACCAGCGCCUCAAGUGGUAUCCGCGAAUAUUGGGCCUAGAGCGUCCGUAGCCGGAUUAAAAAGUCCAUUGUGAAAUGUUGAGGCUUAACCUUAACGCGUGCAGUGGAUACUUUUAGUCUAGGGAACGGGGGAGGAUCGGAGUACAUCCGGGGUAGGGGUAAAAUCCGUUGAGCCUGGGUGGACUACCAGUGGCGAAGGCGCCGAUCCAAAACGUGUCCGACGGUGAGGGACGAAAGCUAGGGUAGCGAACGGGAUUAGAUACCCCGGUAGUCCUAGCUGUAAAUUAUGCAGACUUUGGUGUUGCAUGUGAGUAAUCAUGUGCAGUGCUGUAGCGUAGGUAUUAAGUCUGCCGCCUGGGGAGUACGGUCGCAAGACUUAAACUUAAAGGAAUUGGCGGGGGAGCACCACAAGCCGUGGAUGCUACGGUUU